CCUAUAUGGUACCCUAGGUUUUCCGCCACCCCUCUUUCUCUCUUCUCCUUCUUCCACCACCAUAACAUUUCGUCUCCUUUUUUUCUCUCUUCUCUUUUAAUGUUUUCAUGGUUGCAAAGCAGAUGAAGAACAAGAAAGAUUUUUCUCUAGAGAAACAGUUGGAGAACAAGGAAGAAUUAUGAUUCAAGAUCUGUUUGAUUUGAGAUCUAUUUUAAUUUGUUUAUCUCAAUGGUGGAUUUUCAAUUCAACUAUGAUUGUUGCAUUCACACAAUAAGAAUCGAUUAGUAAAGGAAAUCGUUUGAUAGGAAAUUGCAAUAACAAACUAGAAAAUAAUUGAUUUUUCAUUAUUUAUUUCAGUUUAUAAACUUUUUGGAUCGGUCUCAGUGGCUUAACAUGUCUAUCAUCGCACUGUUUGGAGGAUUCUUUGCUAGCGGUUUCAAAAGAGCUUUUAAAAUCAAGUGAAAUAAAGGGGAACAGACUGCAAUAUUGCAGGCAAAGCGACAGAUAGAGCGACAGACUAGACUAGGGUAUUUGAGGCUGAGUCUUCUUAGAUACAUACUAAACGAAUGGUUCUAACCGGUUCACGCCGGAAAUUAUUGGUUGAGCGGGGGCAAUUUUUGUUGGUAUAAGCCCUAGAGGCCAAUACUUUUGGUACUUGUAUCGAAUU